rnacentral:rRNA from 1 species
AAUGGGGGAAACCCUGAUGACAGCAACGACCGCGUGAGGUGAUGAAGGCCUUUGGGUGUGUGAAGCCUCUGUCCUAGGGGAAGAAAAAAAUGACGGUACCCGAGAGAAGCCCCGGCUAACUACGUGCCAGCAGCCGCGGUAAUACGUAGGGGGCAAGCGUUAUCCGGAAUUAUUGGGCGUAAAGAGUGCGUAGGUGGUCUACUAAGCGCGAGGUGAAAGGCAAUGGCUCAACCAUUGUUAGCCUUGUGAACUGGCAGACUUGAGUGCAAGAGAGGAAAGCGGAAUUCCUAGUGUAGCGGUGAAGUGCGCAGAUAUUAGGAGGAACACCGGCGGCGAAGCGGCUUUCUGGAUUGUAACUGACGCUGAGGCACGAAAGCGUGGGUAGCAAACAGGAUUAGAUACCCUGGUAGUCCACGCCGUAAACGAUGAGCACUAGGUGUCGGGACAUGAGUCUCGGUGCCGCAGUUAACGCAAUAAGUGCUCCGCCUGGGGAGUACGCACGCAAGUGUAAAACUCAAAGGAAUUGACGGGGACCGCACAAGCAGCGGAGCAUGUGGUUUAAUUCGAAGCACGCGAAGAACCUACCCAGACUGAC